GCAAGUCGAGCGAUCACUUCGGUGGGAGCGGCGAACGGGUUAGUAACGCGUGGGAACAUACUCUUCUCUACGGAAUAGCCAUUGGAAACGAUGAGUAAUACCGUAUACGCCCUUCGGGGGAAAGCUUUAUCGGAGAUGGAUUGGCCCGCGUUAGAUUAGCUAGUUGGUGGGGUAAUGGCCUACCAAGUCUACGAUCUAUAGCUGGUUUGAGAGGAUGAUC
rnacentral:rRNA from 1 species